rnacentral:rRNA from 1 species
AUUGAACGCUGGCGGCAGGCCUAACACAUGCAAGUCGAGCGGAUGAAGGGAGCUUGCUCCUGGAUUCAGCGGCGGACGGGUGAGUAAUGCCUAGGAAUCUGCCUGGUAGUGGGGGAUAACGUCCGGAAACGGGCGCUAAUACCGCAUACGUCCUGAGGGAGAAAGUGGGGGAUCUUCGGACCUCACGCUAUCAGAUGAGCCUAGGUCGGAUUAGCUAGUUGGUGGGGUAAAGGCCUACCAAGGCGACGAUCCGUAACUGGUCUGAGAGGAUGAUCAGUCACACUGGAACUGAGACACGGUCCAGACUCCUACGGGAGGCAGCAGUGGGGAAUAUUGGACAAUGGGCGAAAGCCUGAUCCAGCCGUGCCGCGUGUGUGAAGAAGGUCUUCGGAUUGUAAAGCACUUUAAGUUGGGAGGAAGGGCAGUAAGUUAAUAUCUUGCUGUUUUGACGUUACCAACAGAAUAAGCACCGGCUAACUUCGUG